UAAGGAAUAUUGGUCAAUGGACGCAAGUCUGAACCAGCCAUGCCGCGUGGAGGAUGAAGGCCCUCUGGGUUGUAAACUUCUUUUACAGGGGACGAAACACUUCUAUUCUUAGGAGCUUGACGGUGCCCUGGGAAUAAGCACCGGCUAACUCCGUGCCAGCAGCCGCGGUAAUACGGAGGGUGCAAGCGUUAUCCGGAUUCACUGGGUUUAAAGGGUGCGUAGGCGGGCUUGUAAGUCCGUGGUGAAAUCUCUGAGCUUAACUCGGAAACUGCCAUGGAUACUAUGGGUCUUGAAUACUCGGGAGGUGAGCGGAAUAUGUCAUGUAGCGGUGAAAUGCUUAGAUAUGACAUAGAGCACCAAUUGCGAAGGCAGCUUGCUACAGAGUUAUUGACGCUGAGGCACGAAAGCGUGGGGAUCAAAACAGGAUUAGAUACCCUGGUAGUCCACGCCCUAAAACUAUGGAUACUCGACGUUGGCGAUAUGACUGUCAGCGUCUGAGCGAAAAGCAUUAAAGUAUCCCACCUGGGAAGUACGACCGCAAGGUUGAAACUUAAAUGAAUUGACGGGGUCAUAGCUGUUUCCUG
rnacentral:rRNA from 1 species